rnacentral:rRNA from 1 species
AGCGAACGCUGGCGGCAGGCCUAACACAUGCAAGUCGAACGAACCUUUCGGGGUUAGUGGCGGACGGGUGAGUAACACGUGGGAACGUGCCUUUAGGUUCGGAAUAACUCAGGGAAACUUGUGCUAAUACCGAAUGUGCCCUUCGGGGGAAAGAUUAAUCGCCUUUAGAGCGGCCCGCGUCUGAUUAGCUGGUUGGGUGGGGUAAUGGCUCACCAAGGCGACGAUCAGUAGCUGGUCUGAGAGGAGGCUCAGCCACAUUGGGACUGCGACACGGCCCACACUCCUACGGGAGGCAGCAGUAGGGAAUCUUGCGCAAUGGGCGCAAGCCUGACGCAGCCAUGCCGCGUGAGUGAUGAAGGUCUUAGGAUUGUAAUAUUCUUUCACCGGGGACGAUAAUGACGGUACCCGGUGAAGAAGCCCCGGCUAACUUCGUG